rnacentral:rRNA from 1 species
GUGCCAGCAGCCGCGGUAAUACGAAUGGGGCAAGCGUUGUUCGGAUUUACUGGGCGUAAAGCGGGCGUAGGCGGCCGGCUAAGUCGGAUGUGAAAUCCCGGGGCUCAACUCCGGAACUGCAUUCGAUACUGGUCGGCUAGAGUUCGAGAGGGGGAUGCGGAAUUCCGCGUGUAGCAGUGAAAGGCGUAGAUAUGCGGAGGAACACCUGAGGCGAAGGCGGCAUCCUGGAUCGACACUGACGCUGAGGCCCGAAAGCGUGGGGAGCAAACAGGAUUAGAUACCCUGGUAGUCCACGCCGUAAACGAUGGAUACUCGGUGUCAGCCCUUGUGGGUUGGUGCCUAAGCGAAAGCGAUAAGUAUCCCACCUGGGGAGUACGCCGGCAACGGUGAAACUUAAAGGAAUUGACGGGG